ACGGCGAGUGAAGCGGCAACAGCUCAAAUUUGAAAUCUGGCCUCCUUUGGGGGUCCGAGUUGUAAUUUGCAGAGGGUGCUUUGGCGUCGGCAGCGGUCUAAGUUCCUUGGAACAGGACAUCACAGAGGGUGAGAAUCCCGUACGUGGUCGCCUGCCUUCGCCGUGUAAAGCCCCUUCGACGAGUCGAGUUGUUUGGGAAUGCAGCUCUAAAUGGGAGGUAAAUUUCUUCUAAAGCUAAAUACCGGCCAGAGACCGAUAGCGCACAAGUAGAGUGAUCGAAAGAUGAAAAGCACUUUGGAAAGAGAGUCAAACAGCACGUGAAAUUGUUGAAAGGGAAGCGCUUGCAGCCAGACUUGCUCGUAGUUGCUCACCUGGGUCCGCCCGGGGCACUCUUCUGCGAGCAGGCCAGCAUCAGUUUGGGCGACCGGAUAAAGGCCUCUGUCAUGUAUCUUCCUUCGGGAUGACCUUAUAGGGGAGGCGUAAUGCGGCCAGCCCGGACUGAGGUCCGCGCUUCUGCUAGGAUGCUGGCGUAAUGGCUGUAAGCGGCCCGUCUUGAAACACGGACCAAGGAGUCUAACAUCUAUGCGAGUGUUUGGGUGUCAAGCCCGGGCGCGUAAUGAAAGUGAACGGAGGUGGGAACCCUCUCCGGGGGGUGCACCAUCGACCGAUCCUGAUGUCUUCGGAUGGAUUUGAGUAAGAGCAUAGCUGUUGGGACCCGAAAGAUGGUGAACUAUGCUUGAAUAGGGUGAAGCCAGAGGAAACUCUGGUGGAGGCUCGCAGCGGUUCUGACGUGCAAAUCGAUCGUCAAA
rnacentral:rRNA from 1 species